UACGGAGGGUGCGAGCGUUGUCCGGAAUCACUGGGCGUAAAGGGCGCGUAGGCGGCCUGAUAAGUAGGGGGGUGAAAUCCUGCGGCUUAACCGCAGGGCUGCCUUCUAAACUGUCGGGCUAGAGCACGGUAGAGGCAGAUGGAAUUCCCGGUGUAGCGGUGGAAUGCGUAGAGAUCGGGAAGAACAUCAGUGGCGAAGGCGGUCUGCUGGGCCGUUGCUGACGCUGAGGCGCGACAGCGUGGGGGAGCAAACAGG
rnacentral:rRNA from 1 species